CGGUGGAGCAUGUGGUUUAAUUCGAAGCAACGCGAAGAACCUUACCAGGUCUUGACAUCCUCUGACAACUCUAGAGAUAGAGCGUUCCCCUUCGGGGGACAGAGUGACAGGUGGUGCAUGGUUGUCGUCAGCUCGUGUCGUGAGAUGUUGGGUUAAGUCCCGCAACGAGCGCAACCCUUGAUCUUAGUUGCCAGCAUUCAGUUGGGCACUCUAAGGUGACUGCCGGUGACAAACCGGAGGAAGGUGGGGAUGACGUCAAAUCAUCAUGCCCCUUAUGACCUGGGCUACACACGUGCUACAAUGGAUGGUACAAAGGGCUGCAAGACCGCGAGGUCAAGCCAAUCCCAUAAAACCAUUCUCAUUCCGG
rnacentral:rRNA from 1 species